GUGAGUGGUCAGAGUAUCUCAUCUUUGUGUUUUAAUUUGGAUCUCAUGGAUGGCCAAUGCACCCACACUAUUACUCAUUACUUCCAGACCAGUGUGAAUCUUUUCCUGAGUUUUGCUGCAAUAUCUGCAUUUGCUUCCAAAGAGAAGCCUGGAGCUGGGAUUUGUCUCCGGUCAUGCUGCGUUGAGCUUCAGGUAGCAGCUAGGAUCCAUCAAAUGUUUGAAAAAUAUUAGAAUUGGAGCCAACACACAAAUGUAAAAGGUAAUUG